rnacentral:rRNA from 1 species
CCUACGGGGGGCAGCAGUGAGGAAUAUUGGUCAAUGGGAGAGAUCCUGAACCAGCCAAGCCGCGUGAGGGAAGACGGCCCUAUGGGUUGUAAACCUCUUUUGUCGGGGAACAAAACCCGGGACGUGUCCCGGACUGCGUGUAUCCGAAGAAAAAGCAUCGGGUAACUCCGUGCCAGCAGCCGCGGUAAUACGGAGGAUGCGGGCGUUAUCCGGAUUUAUGGGGUUUAAAGGGUGCGUAGGCGGUCCGUUAAGUCAGCGGUAAAAUCGCGGGGCUCAACCCCGUCGAGCCGUUGAAACUGGCAGACUUGAGUUGGCGAGAAGUACGCGGAAUGCGCGGUGUAGCGGUGAAAUGCAUAGAUAUCGCGCAGAACUCCGAUUGCGAAGGCAGCGUACCGGCGCCAGACUGACGCUGAGGCACGAAAGCGUGGGGAUCGAACAGGAUUAGAUACCCGGGUAGUC